CUUCCACUUCACCGACACAGAAUAUAUAUAAAAAAUCAACUUACGGGCACUGGAAAGGAGGUUCAAUAUGGGUGUGUAUGAUGUUAGUAAGGAAGAAAUCUGAAGAGACCAUUUUUCUAAAUCCUGAAAGAGAUUCUAUUAUCAGUCAAACCUGAAUGCUGCUGGAUGAUUUCCAAGGAUUUUGGGGAAAUUUCCAGCAAUCCUGUGUGAUUGGACAAUGAUAGGUCAGAUUACCUGCCUCUUUCAAUUCUCACAUCCAGCAUUAGAACUAUGUAUUGAGUUAGAGGACUAGCUUUUUUCUAUUUGAAAAUGUCUGUUUUCGAAAGUAAACUCUGUGGGAUGGACAGGGCCGGAUUUCUAAUUUGGCACAGUAGGCAUGUGCCUAGAGGGGCGGGCAUUCUGGGGGCACCUAAAAGUGGGUUAAAAGUUCCAUGUUAAUAUAGUAGAACCUCAGAGUUAUGGAAACCUCAGGUAUAGGCAGCAGUCUCAGGAGUCUCAGGGCUUCUGCACUGUGAGAGUACUGGGGCUCAGCACUUUAGACCUGGGGGGAGUGCUGGGGUUGGGGCAUCCGCUCCCAGUUUCACCCUUGCAGGGGAUGCCGGGGCUCAGGACUUCAGCCACAGCUCCACUC